rnacentral:rRNA from 1 species
UACGAAGGGGGCUAGCGUUGCUCGGAAUCACUGGGCGUAAAGCGCACGUAGGCGGAUCGUUAAGUCGGGGGUGAAAUCCUGGAGCUCAACUCCAGAACUGCCUUUGAUACUGGCGACCUUGAGUCCGGGAGAGGUGAGUGGAACUGCGAGUGUAGAGGUGAAAUUCGUAGAUAUUCGCAAGAACACCAGUGGCGAAGGCGGCUCACUGGCCCGUAACUGACGCUGAGGCACGAAAGCGUGGGGAGCAAACAGG